rnacentral:rRNA from 1 species
UACGUAGGGGGCAAGCGUUGUCCGGAAUCAUUGGGCGUAAAGAGCGUGUAGGCGGCCAGAUAAGUCCGCUGUGAAAUCUCGAGGCUCAACUUCGAGCUGUCGGUGGAAACUGUCUGGCUAGAGUCCGGAAGAGGAGAAUGGAAUUCCUGGUGUAGCGGUGAAAUGCGCAGAUAUCAGGAAGAACACCAAUGGCGAAGGCAGCUCUCUGGGACGGUACUGACGCUGAGGUGCGAAAGCUAGGGGAGCAAACGGG